UACGUAGGGUGCGAGCGUUGUCCGGAAUUAUUGGGCGUAAAGAGCUCGUAGGCGGUUUGUCGCGUCUGCCGUGAAAGUCCGGGGCUCAACUCCGGAUCUGCGGUGGGUACGGGCAGACUAGAGUGAUGUAGGGGGAGACUGGAAUUCCUGGUGUAGCGGUGAAAUGCGCAGAUAUCAGGAGGAACACCGGUGGCGAAGGCGGGUCUCUGGGCCGAUACUGACGCUGAGGAGCGAAAGCGUGGGGAGCGAACAGG
rnacentral:rRNA from 1 species